rnacentral:rRNA from 1 species
UACGUAGGGGGCAAGCGUUGUCCGGAUUUAUUGGGCGUAAAGAGCUCGUAGGUGGUUCGGUAAGUCGGAUGUGAAAUCUUCAGGCUCAACCUGGGAGGGUCAUUCGAUACUGCCGUGACUAGAGGUCGGUAGGGGAGUGUGGAAUUCCUGGUGGAGCGGUGAAAUGCGCAGAUAUCAGGAGGAACACCCGUAGCGAAGGCGGCACUCUGGGCCGAUACUGACACUGAGGAGCGAAAGCGUGGGGAGCGAACAGG